rnacentral:rRNA from 1 species
GAUAGAAAUUUUAAUUGGCGCUGUGAGUAAAUGAUGAAAGAAGUAUUAAACAGCAAAGUUUACUCCUUUUACCUUUUACAUAAUGAUUUAACUAGAACAGUUUAACAGAGAACUUAAGCUAAAUACCCUGAAACCAGAUGAGCUACCUAUGAACAGUUUUAAAGAACAAACUCAUCUAUGUAGCAAAAGAAAAGAUUUAUAGGUAGAGGUGAAAAGCCUAAUGAGCCUGGUGAUAGCUGAUUAUCUAGAAUAGAAUUUUAGUUCAAAUUUAAAUUUAACUGAAGAAAUAGCAAUUCUAAUAUAAAUUUAAAUGCUCGUCUAAAAGGGUACAGCCUUUGAGAAGCGGGAUACGUCCUUAGACAGUAAGUAUAAAACACCAUAGUAGGCCUGAAAGCAGUCAUCAGUUAAGAAAGCGUUCAAGCUCAACAACGCACUUAAUUCCAACAAUGAAAACCAACUCUAAUCUAAUACUGGAUUAGUCUAUUAAUUAAUAGAAACAGUAUCGUUAAUAUGAGUAACAAGAAUCCUCUCUCAUUGCAUGAGCUUUUAUCAGAACGAAUAAGCACUGAUACUUAACAGCAAGAUAAAUCUAACCCAGUAAUAAAUCAUUUUUUGAACUAAUUGUUAACCCAACAGAGGUAUGCUUUUAAGGAAAGGUUUAAAAAAGUAAAAGGAACUCAGCAAACACAUACCCCAUCUAUUUACCAAAAACAUCACCUCUGGCAUUUCUAGUGUUGUUCAGUGACAUCUCUUUAUUGGCUGUGGUAUCCUGACUGUGCAAAGGAAGCAUAAUCACUUGUUCUCGAAAUAAGGGCUUGUAUGGAUAACCACAUGAGGGUUUUACUGUCCCUUACUUUUUAAUCAGUGAAAUUCAUCUUCCCAUAAAGAGGUAAGAAUGACAUGGUAAGACGCGAAGACCCUAUGGAGUUUUAAUUAACUAGUCCAUAAAGAACAAAAAUUAACCAAAUUUAAGGGAUAACGAAACUUUAAAUGGACGAACAGUUUUGGUUGGGGUGACCUUGGAGAAUAAAAUAAGCUCCAAGUGAUUAAAAUCUAGACCAACUAGUCAAAAUAUUUUAUCACCUAUUGAUCCAAGAUAUUGAACAAGUUACCUUAGGGAUAACAGCGCAGUUCUAUUCUAGAGUUCGUAUCAACAAUAGGGUUUACAACCUCGAUGUUGGAUCAGGGCGUCUCAGUUGUGUAACUGCUAUUAAUGGUUUGUUUGUUCACUGAUUAAAGUCCUGUGUGAUCUGAGUUCAGACUGGAGUAAUCCAGGUCAUUUUCUAUCUGUUCUACAUUUCUCCCAG